rnacentral:rRNA from 1 species
UACGGGGGGUGCGAGCGUUGUUCGGAAUUACUGGGCGUAAAGCGCGCGUAGGCGGACCUGCAAGUCGGGGGUGAAAGCCCGAGGCUCAACCUCGGAACUGCCUUCGAUACUGCGGGUCUCGAGUCCGGGAGAGGUGAGUGGAAUUCCUAGUGUAGAGGUGAAAUUCGUAGAUAUUAGGAAGAACACCAGUGGCGAAGGCGGCUCACUGGCCCGGUACUGACGCUGAGGCGCGAAAGCGUGGGGAGCAAACAGG